AUACAAUGAAGAGUUUGAUCCUGGCUCAGGAUGAACGCUAGCGGCAGGCCUAACACAUGCAAGUCGAGGGGCAUCACGGAAAAGCUUGCUUUUCUGGUGGCGACCGGCGCACGGGUGCGGAACGCGUAUGGAACCUGCCCCUGUCAGGGGAAUAGCCCAGGGAAA
rnacentral:rRNA from 1 species